CUGCUGCAGAUAGUUAUAUUUACUCUUCUCCUCCACCACCUUACGAGUAUAAGUCGCCACCGCCACCAUCACCUUCACCACCACCUCCUUAUGUUUACAAAUCGCCACCUCCUCCAUCCCCAUCACCUCCACCACCUUAUGAGCACAAGGCUCCUGCUUAUGAGUACAAGUCACCACCACCACCAACUCCUUCACCACCACCUCCUUAUGUGUACAAGUCACCACCACCGCCAUCUCCUUCACCACCACCUCCUUAUGUGUACAAGUCACCACCACCACCCUCACCUUCCCCACCACCACCAUACUACUACAAGAGUCCUCCACCACCUUCUCCUUCACCUCCACCUCCUUACUACUACAAAUCUCCUCCACCACCCUCACCUUCCCCACCACCACCAUACUAUUACAAGUCUCCUCCACCACCAUCUCCCUCACCUCCACCACCAUAUUACUACAAGUCUCCCCCACCACCCUCACCCUCCCCUCCACCCCCAUAUAUACACAAGGAUCCACCAUACUAUUACAAGUCCCCACCACCACCUUCACCAUCUCCUCCACCACCAUACUACUACAAAUCUCCCCCACCCCCUUCACCGUCUCCUCCACCACCAUACUACUACAAAUCUCCUCCUCCUCCAUCUCCUAUUCCCAAAACACCUUACUACUACAAAUCUCCCCCACCCCCUUCACCAUCUCCUCCACCACCAUACUACUACAAAUCUCCCCCACCCCCUUCACCGUCUCCUCCACCACCAUACUACUAUAAAUCUCCCCCACCACCGUCACCCUCUCCACCACCACCUUACUAUUACAAGUCUCCUCCCCCACCUUCACCAUCUCCUCCACCACCAUACUACUACAAAUCUCCUCCUCCUCCAUCUCCUAUUCCCCAUACACCUUACUAUUACAAAUCUCCCCCACCACCUUCACCAUCUCCUCCACCACCAUACUACUACAAAUCUCCUCCUCCUCCAUCUCCUAUUCCCCGUACACCUUACUAUUACAAAUCUCCCCCACCACCUUCACCAUCUCCUCCACCACCAUACUACUACAAAUCCCCUCCUCAUCCAUCUCCCAUUCCCCAUACACCUUACUAUUACACAUCUCCCCCACCACCUUCACCGUCUCCUCCACCACCAUAUUACUACAAAUCUCCUCCCCCUCCGUCUCCUAUUCCCCACACACCUUACUACUACAAGUCCCCACCACCACCAAAGGUCCUUCCACCACCAUACUAUUACAAUUCUCCUCCUCCACCUGUUGUGUAUCCUCACCCAUAUCCCUACCACCACUCACUUAUUGUGAGGGUAGUCGGUAAAGUCUACAGCUUCAGAUGUUAUGAUUGGAAUUAUCCUGCAAAGUCUCAUAACAAGAAACAUCUCAAAGGUACAUUACAUUUCUUAGGACCGGACCUCUUUAGAGUAAUGUGUUUAGAGAUAAUGCACAAUUUUUUAUUUUUUUAUCUCGUAAAGGUUUAUUUAUUAUAAUCACAAUUUCACUUUUGUCAAAAAGAAAAACAAUUUUACUAUAUAUAGUUUUAAUCAUUAACAUUUUGAUGUAAAAAGAAUACAAUUCUCUAUUACCUUUUUACUAUGAUAUAUAUACAAAGAUUAUUCAAAUCUAUAUAUCCAACCUAAUUUCCAUCCAAAAAAAUAGAAAACAUAGGGUGCUUUGAACGCCUGCAGCAUCACAUGAAUAAAUAAAAACAAUCAAUAAUCAACCUUGUUCUAAUUUAUUUUAGACAGCGAUUGUUAAGCAUACUGCUCUUUUAAUUACAUUUUUUUUAAAGAUGCUCUUUUAAUUAUAUUGUCCUAAUAUAAUAUGUGUCUUUAUAUAUUACUUGUCGUAAACUAAUUUUAUUAUGGGUGCAGGAGCUGUUGUUGAGGUGACAUGCAAAGCCGGGAGCAAAAUUGUCAAGGCUUAUGGAAAAACUAAGAACAAUGGAAAGUAUGCCAUCACAGUUAAGGACUUUGACUAUGUCAAAUAUGGUUCGACAGUGUGCAAGGCUGCCCUAUAUGCUCCACCUAAGGGUUCACCCUUCAACAUACCUACAAAGCUAAAUCAAGGAACAAAGUUGUACUUGAAAUCCAAAGACAAGUACGAGGUUGUGCUCAAGGCUAAGCCAUUUGCUUAUGCUUCAAAGAAACAUUUCAAAGAAUGUGAGAAGCCUAAGCCUUCACCAACUCCUUACUACUACAAAUCACCUCCACCUCCCUCACCAGUUUACAAAUACAACUCACCACCUCCACCGGUCCAUUAUUAUUCACCUCCAUACACCUACAAGUCACCUCCUCCCCCUGUGAAAGCGGCACCAACUCCUUACUACUACAAAUCACCUCCACCACCCGCACCGGUUUACAAGUACAACUCACCCCCUCCACCGGUCCAUUAUUAUUCACCACCAUAUACCUAUAAGUCACCUCCUCCCCCUGUGAAAGCGGCACCAACUCCUUACUACUACAAAUCACCUCCACCUCCCGCACCGGUUUACAAGUACAACUCCCCACCUCCACCGGUCCAUUAUUAUUCACCUCCAUAUACCUACAAGUCACCUCCUCCCCCUGUGAAAGUGGCACCAACUCCUUACUACUACAAAUCACCUCCACCACCCGCACCGGUUUACAAGUACAACUCACCACCUCCACCGGUCCAUUAUUAUUCUCCACCAUACUACUACAAGUCACCACCCCCACCAUCUCCAUCACCUCCUCCACCAUACUAUUUCAAAUACUAUUACAAGUCCCCACCUCCACCAUCACCAUCCCCUCCUCCACCUUAUUAUUACAAAUCUCCUCCUCCACCAAAACAAAUUUCACACCCUCCAUACUACUAUAAGUCACCACCCCCACCAUCACCAUCACCUCCUCCACCAUACUAUUAUAAGUCUCCACCUCCACCAUCACCAUCUCCCCCACCACCUUAUUAUUAUAAGUCACCACCCCCACCAUCCCCGUCCCCUCCUCCACCAUACUACUACAAGUCUCCACCUCCACCUAAAGAAAUAUCACAUCCUCCAUAUAACUAUAAGUCACCACCCCCACCAUCACCAUCCCCUCCCCCUCCAUACUAUUACAAAUCUCCUCCACCACCAUCACCAUCACCACCACCUCCCUACUAUUACAAAUCACCUCCACCACCAUCACCAUCACCUCCCCCUCCAUACUAUUACAAAUCUCCUCCACCACCAUCACCAUCACCACCACCUCCUUACUAUUACAAAUCACCUCCACCACCAUCCCCAUCACCACCACCUCCAUACUACUACAAAAGUCCCCCUCCACCAUCUCCAUCUCCUCCAUCCCCAUAUUACUACAAAUCUCCACCACCACCAUCACCAUCCCCACCCCCUCCCUACUAUUACAAAUCACCUCCACCUCCCUCACCAUCACCGCCACCUCCUUACUAUUACAAAUCACCUCCACCUCCCUCACCAUCACCGCCACCUCCUUACUAUUACAAAUCUCCCCCACCUCCAUCUCCAUCUCCACCACCUCCUUACCACUAUCAAAGUCCUCCUCCACCAUCUCCCAUUUCUCAUCCUCCCUACUACUACAAAUCCCCUCCACCACCAUCGCCGUCUCCUCCACCUCCUUACCACUAUGUGAGUCCUCCCCCACCAGUAAAGUCACCUCCACCACCAACUUAUAUCUAUGCUUCACCACCACCACCUCACUACAACUAAGCUCAAAGAGCAGAAGCUCCGUUCAUUAUAAAUCAUGUAAGUUUAUCAUCUUCAAUUUUCUGAAUGUGUGCGUGUGUAUUUGUUUUUUUGUUACAAGAUACUAACAAAAUUCUUUUCUUAUUUAUGUUCAGGUUUUAGUUUUCAUCUAGGAAUAAAGGCAAGCUCCAUUUGGAGUAAAGUGAAACUUCUAGCUUCGUGUCCGAAUUCGUUAAAUAAAUGUCGGGAUGUAUCGUCUUUGAGCUAUAAUAUUUCUGAUCCAGACAAUAUCUAUUUUGUUUCUUUGGUGGCAAUCUUGCACUUCCUGGUCUUAGUCUAUUCAAGUGACAGACAAAUCAAAAGGGAGAAGCGAGAUUAAUUUAUUUGUGAUCUCUUUGAUUUAUUUGUGCAUAUAUCAAUAUGAACGUGUAUGAUAUUUUUCUAUUUAUUGAAGAUUUUUUUACUGUAACCUGUUAUUGUGUUUGUCAAAAGGUGUUAAUAAAGAAUCACAUUCAAUUUCUGUUAAAUUAUCAGUAUUUGUUUCUUUCUAACAACUACCAUUCAUGCAAAUGUGGCUAUUAAAAAAAGCUCCAAUGACACAUAAAAAGCUUCCAAACAAUAUAUAAACAAAGAUGCAUUGUUUUCUGUUAAGAAGGGGACAGGGUUACGGUUACUUGUGUACCAAGUUAGUUAUCCAUGCUUUCUUGUUCAUAGGAUUUAUAUGGUGUAGUUGCACUUAGUUGCUAAAUGUAUGCAAGCUUUUCCUUUCUAUAAAUAAGCACACCUACUAUCAUUCUUCUCCACAUUCCUUUCUACUCUUCUAUCAUGAAUUGUUCAUCCACAUAAGAUGGUCACAGAGCACACCUAAUACUCUGCUACUGGUGUAUCAGUUCCUUUCCACCAGAAACUUAUGAUCUCUAAUUGAAAGAGAUCCUAAAGUUUUAAGAUUUCUACAAAAUACAUUAUUCUCAUUUUUGUACAAGUAUGAUACAAUUAUUCCCAAGUAUUAUUUAUUCUAAGGAAUAGAAUUUAGUUGUGGUUUCUCUAUUUAACCAACAUUUAUUUUUAAAUAACUAAAUUUAAAAAAAAAAUCCUGAAAUUAUUAAGUACAUACCUAACACAUUGUAAAAUUUUGUUCCCAAAGAAAAUAUUUUUGGCAAUAGAAUUUUCAGGAACUUCAUUCCUAGGAAUAUAAUUCUAUACUAAGAGAAGAGCUUAAGCAUUGAUACAUAACAAGACCAAUCCAUAUCCUAAUCACAAUCCUACUUUCACUAAAUACUUUCACUUAAGUGUGGUCUUGGAAAGGACAAAUGAAGAAAGACAUUCCAGAGGUAUGGUAAGGGACAAUAUCUGCAGUUAUGCACAUAUUGCAAGAUUGUGAGGAACUACCGGACUGAUUUGAUUCACCAAAAAAUUUGGAAUAAAUAUUUCAGCCCAGAACUCAGACAAUGACUGGAUUGGAACCUUUCAGCUUCUAAUAUCGGUACUGUCCAAGGAAAUAGUCAUUCUCUUUUUGGAGUAGCUGUGAAGGAUUUAUGGAAAGAUAGAACUAAGCUGGUCUUUUCUAGAAACACCGCGAUUGGAACUACUCUAUUUUGGCUUGUAGCCAAUCCGGCUAAGUUUAUUAACAAUGUAGUUUGUACUCAAGCUCACAGUCACGAUGUUGUCAGCAACAGUGGGCAUAUUGUUUAGGUAGCCUGGAAUUUUCCUCCCCAACACUUCUUCAAAGUGAAUAUGAUGGAUCUCUACGGGAUUAUGUUAGUUUCCAGGAUCGAACUCAGAACCUCCUGAUUAUAACUCCUUCAAUGUAUGUCCCUUACCCACGUGGGGCCUCGGCUGUAAUUGUUAACAUGGUAAAAUUUGGCUCUUCCAAUAAUGGUUUUAUCCAAACUCGAGGUUGUUUAUCGUCUCCAACAAUCAGAUUGGAGAAUACUAGUGGUUCAUGCAUUUGAACAAACCAACUGUUGUGCAGAUUUUCUAGUUGAUUUUGUUUUUCCUUUUUUGAGUAUUUUAUUAGCCAAUGAUAUAAGAGGUUGUAGCCUACCUCUUUUGAUUUCUUAAGACAAUCACUUUUGCAUUAGAAAAAAACGACCCUACAUAAAAUUAAUGAUUGAAUUAAGAUAUAACUUCAGUUUGAAAUAUUGUAAAAUUCUAUACCACCAAAAACUGAGAAUUUUAGAACCAUACAGGUUGGUGGAGUGGUCAUCCAGAUAACUUUAACAUAAUUAACAGUCCAAAAAGUAAAUAGCUUUAUCCUUUAUUUUCAAUCUGAUGUGAUUUACUCUUAUCUGUUAAACAUUAUAAUUAAGAAUCCAAAGGGAACACUCACCUAAUCUCUCUCUUUUUUCUAGCUUUUUCACUAAACCACUGUGUCUGUGGUUACCACAUUUCCUUAUGGAAUCAAUAUCCAAUUUAUGUUAAAAACCAUUUCUACAUUUUGUGUUAAAAAUGAUCUAAACAAAGAUGAUUUAUUUCUCUUAAAUUCAACAUAGAUCAUAUUUACAUGGUUCAAACUUUCUAUUACACGGCAUUGACUUAGUUGCUUCACAUGGGGACACAACUAAUGCAUAUAUUAUUUUAUAUGCUUAUAGUAAUUUUAACAAGUGGCAAUGGGGCAUAUGUUUUGUCAAAAAAACACAAAAAACAGGAGGCAUGUGCAACUGAAGUCACUGCCAGCUUGGCACUAAGAUAUAGUAAAAUAAUUGACAUUUGAAGAAAACAAAGACGUUGCUACAUUUCUAUUCAAACAAGCGACAUCAAUAUCAGACAAUGGUGCUACAUUUAAUAAUACUACAGCUAUCCCCAUAAGCACCUCUUAGAAAGAAAAAAAAAUAUCCAUUAAAUUAAUGUUGGAAGAGUUAGCAACAUGUCCUCUCCCAAAAAAACUCAUGUUUGAUUCCUAGAGUCGUCCAUUUCGAAAGAAGCUCAACCCUGAUAAUAAAAACCUAGAUGUUAUGCUGCAGACUUAAAGAUCAAUUUCAUAAUGGAUCCAAAGGGCCUAAGCUGUGUGGGAUACUUAAGGGGGUAUAUUGAGGCUAAGGGUCAAAGAUCUUAAUUAUGGUCGGUUAAAAAAAGAAGAAAAAAAAAUUAUCUCUAAAUAUAAAGUCAACAAUAUUUCAAAUUGCAAGAUACAUUUAUUUAUUUUUUAAAUAUGUAUAUACCUCUUAUUAAUACUUACUAAUUUGUUUUGAGUGAUAAAAAGUUACGAGUUAGACAGAUCAGCACAUAAAAAAAGUAUUUGAAAAACAUCUACCAACAAAAUAAACACAUUAAAAACAAUACUACUUUUUUACAAUACUGUAUGUGAAAAUGACAAAAUCUUGAAAAAGAUGGAGGUAACAUGUACUCUUUUUUUUUUAGAGGGGAGCAUGUACUUUUCCACUAACAAUGUUGAUAAGAAACAUAUAAAAUACUAUUAGAGAAAGAAAAAAAAUAAUAAAUAAAGAAAUAUAUAAAAUACUGAGGAAUGACUCACUCAUGUCAAAUUUUAGCAAGGGAGAAGUGAUAUCACAUCAUUUUAGAAGAGGAAUGAGAAUAGAUAGAUCUAAUUUUUCUAGUAAGUUUGAAUAGUAGAAUCAUACUUCUUUGUCUUUUGUGAAAAUUUCAUAUUAUGGGAUCUAUUACUAGAAUACAGGUGAUUUUAUUCUGGAAGAUUGACUUUUUAUUAAAAUAAAAUAAAAGUACAUUUUUUAUUUCCAAAUGCUUAGUUGUUCAUUUAUAAAUAUUACAUUAUCCAACAGCACCAAACCCUAUUUCAUAACGGUACUCUGCACGUUUCAUUCAUUUACUGGUGCCUUAGUUUUUUGUUACAAACAGACAUUGAUCAGAGGAACAAAUGUAGAGACAAAUUGAAGAUAAUAUAUCACAUAAUAUUGUAGACACACCUUCACAUACAAAUGGGGUAAAGUCCCUCAUAGUAGUAUUAGAAAUAACACUUAGAGUAAAAUUUUGCUAAAUUUAACAUGAAAAUAAGUGUAAUGUAUUUUAUAGGCAGCUAUACAUAAUUAUUAAUUAGAACAAUUUUUUACACUGUCAAACAAAAAUUGAACAAUUUUUUACUAGCUUUAUGCUUUAUGAUGUUUUGAUUCCAUGUGCACAUUUCAAUUUUAGAACUAUUCCUUUCUAUGUUACUGAAAUAAUUCUAUCAUUAGGCAUUGACAUUUCCAUUAUGCGUGCACGUUAAAGUGUUUUCCCAAACAGAGAAAUAUUAAGAAAGGUUAAACUUUUGACUUAAAGACACAACUAAAAUAAGAUCCAAGGAAAACCCCAUUGAUUAUUUCUUGCACAAAAUUAAAAACCCCAUUGAUUAUUUCUUGCACAAAAUUAAAAUGCUAAUAAUUUUUCCUGGUCUAUAUUUUUCUCCUUCCGGGAAAUGGCAACAUCACAUGUUCAUCUCAUAAUUGAGAAAACACAUGUCUGGGAAAAUAUCUUAAAGAAAAGGCAGUAAAGUAAUAAAAAGUGCACCAAAUAGAGAUUAACUAGUACUCUUUGCAUGUCAACUAAGUGGUAUAAUUAUGUAUAUCACAUUCUUAAUAUUGAUUAUCUUGAUUGCACGAUAAGCCCCUCAAAUUGCUCAAUCGAUGAUUGCUUGAUAAGCCCAUCAAAUUGCCCAAUCGAUCGAAUCGUAACUUUCGAUAGACAUUUUUUUUAAGAAAACCCAAUUGGAUCAUAACUCCCCAUAGUCAUUUAUUUGAAAUUGUGAGCAAUUUGAUAACUUAUUGAGCAAUCACCAUUGAUUUUAGUCUCAAUUUAUCCUAAUGUUGUAACCCUGGAAUAAUGGAACAGUGAGUAAAUUUGGUUUCUCCGUCUCAAAAUAAGUGUCACAAUUUAACCAUGUGCACUACUCAUCAAAUCUACUUUGACAACAUUUUUUUUACUAAUAUAUAAAGACAAUGUUAGUACAUUACAUGUUCGAUUUGUCUUAGUUAAUGUUUUUAAAAUAUCGACUUUAUUAUAAUUUUUCUUAAUAGACAAUCAAAAAUAUCAAUUGUCAAAAUUGUGUAUUGAUAUGUAUGAAAAUCAAACUAUAACACUUACUUUGAGACGAAGAGAAUAACUAUUAAAAACUAAUGUUCAAAUAGAAAGAAAAGAAAACAAAGAUUCCAUACAAAGCUUGCAAAAUAGCUACAAUCAUAACCUAGAACAAAAAUCAUGACCACACACUAUAUCCAUUUUCCUUUUCCUAAAAAGCAAUUGAAGAUAAAAAAAAAAAAAAUAAUAAAUAAAAAAAAAAAAAAAAAAAAAAAAAANACCACCAUACUACUACAAAUCCCCACCUCCACCAUCGCCUUCUCCUCCACCACCAUACUACUACAAAUCCCCACCUCCACCAUCGCCUUCUCCUCCACCACCAUACUACUACAAAUCCCCACCUCCACCAUCGCCUUCUCCUCCACCACCAUACUACUACAAAUCCCCACCUCCACCAUCGCCUUCUCCUCCACCACCAUACUACUACAAAUCCCCACCUCCACCAUCGCCUUCUCCUCCACCACCAUACUACUACAAAUCCCCACCUCCACCAUCGCCUUCUCCUCCACCACCAUACUACUACAAAUCCCCACCUCCACCAUCGCCUUCUCCUCCACCACCAUACUACUACAAAUCCCCACCUCCACCAUCGCCUUCUCCUCCACCACCAUACUACUACAAAUCCCCACCUCCACCAUCGCCUUCUCCUCCACCACCAUACUACUACAAAUCCCCACCUCCACCAUCGCCUUCUCCUCCACCACCAUACUACUACAAAUCCCCACCUCCACCAUCGCCUUCUCCUCCACCACCAUACUACUACAAAUCCCCACCUCCACCAUCGCCUUCUCCUCCACCACCAUACUACUACAAAUCCCCACCUCCACCAUCGCCUUCUCCUCCACCACCAUACUACUACAAAUCCCCACCUCCACCAUCGCCUUCUCCUCCACCACCAUACUACUACAAAUCCCCACCUCCACCAUCGCCUUCUCCUCCACCACCAUACUACUACAAAUCCCCACCUCCACCAUCGCCUUCUCCUCCACCACCAUACUACUACAAAUCCCCACCUCCACCAUCGCCUUCUCCUCCACCACCAUACUACUACAAAUCCCCACCUCCACCAUCGCCUUCUCCUCCACCACCAUACUACUACAAAUCCCCACCUCCACCAUCGCCUUCUCCUCCACCACCAUACUACUACAAAUCCCCACCUCCACCAUCGCCUUCUCCUCCACCACCAUACUACUACAAAUCCCCACCUCCACCAUCGCCUUCUCCUCCACCACCAUACUACUACAAAUCCCCACCUCCACCAUCGCCUUCUCCUCCACCACCAUACUACUACAAAUCCCCACCUCCACCAUCGCCUUCUCCUCCACCACCAUACUACUACAAAUCCCCACCUCCACCAUCGCCUUCUCCUCCACCACCAUACUACUACAAAUCCCCACCUCCACCAUCGCCUUCUCCUCCACCACCAUACUACUACAAAUCCCCACCUCCACCAUCGCCUUCUCCUCCACCACCAUACUACUACAAAUCCCCACCUCCACCAUCGCCUUCUCCUCCACCACCAUACUACUACAAAUCCCCACCUCCACCAUCGCCUUCUCCUCCACCACCAUACUACUACAAAUCCCCACCUCCACCAUCGCCUUCUCCUCCCCCACCUUACUAUUACAAAUCCCCACCGCCACCUUCACCAUCUCCCCCACCACCCUACUACUAUAAAUCACCCCCACCACCUUCACCAUCUCCUCCACCACCAUACUACUACAAAUCACCCCCACCGCCAUAUGAACACAAGACUAAACCAUACUAUUACAAGUCUCCUCCACCACCAUAUGAACACAAGACUAAACCAUACUAUUACAAGUCCCCACCACCACCUUCACCAUCUCCUCCACCACCAUACUAUUACAAGUCCCCACCACCACCUUCACCGUCUCCACCCCCACCAUACUACUACAAAUCACCUCCUCCUCCAUCACCUAUUCCCCAUACACCUUACUACUACAAGUCCCCACCACCACCUAAGGUUCUUCCACCACCAUACUAUUACAACUCUCCUCCUCCACCUGUUGUGUAUCAUCACCCUCAUCCCUACCACCAUGCAUUGAUCGUGAAGGUAGUGGGUAACGUCUACAGCUUCAGAUGUUAUGACUGGGAGUAUCCUGAAAAGUCUCAUAACAAGAAACACCUCAAAGGUACAUCACAUUACAUUUCUCAAUUCUUUCAUUUUUAUAGAUUUUAUGUACAUCACUAUUGGCUCGUAGUUUCUCAAUACCAUUACAACUAAACUGCAAGUUUCAGUAAUGAGAUUCAUAUAGACAUGUUUUUAUUAACAUCUUUGUUUCUUAGAAAUUAUACAAACACUUAAUUUAGGUUUCUCCAUGUCCAAUAAAGUAAACAAUUGAUAUAUCAAAUUAACAUAUAUGAUAUAUCAUUUACCUCAUUAAAAUUUAAUAAUCCUGCCUAAUAUAAAGAUUCGGUUUGAAAAUGAUAGUUUAGUGAGCUUCUUUAUAAUAACACUCUCCAAUAUAUUAUGUUUUAAAAACAAUUAUAUUUCUAUUUGUCUAAAUUCAAAUUUGUUAUGGGACAGGUGCUGUUGUUGAAGUGACAUGCAAAGCCGGGAGCAAAAUCAUCAAGGCUUACGGUAAAACUAAGAUCAAUGGAAAGUAUGCCAUCACAGUUAAGGACUUUGACUAUGUCAAAUAUGGUUCAACAGUGUGCAAGGCUGCCCUUUAUGCUCCACCUAAGGGUUCACCCUUCAACAUACCUACAAAGCUAAACCAAGGAACAAACUUGUACUUGAAAUCCAAAGACAAGUACGAGGUUGUGCUCAAGGCUAAGCCAUUUGCUUAUGCUUCAAAGAAACAUUUCAAAGAAUGUGAGAAGUCCAAGCCUUCACCAACUCCUUACUACUACAAAUCACCUCCACCUCCCUCACCAGUUUACAAGUAUAACUCACCACCUCCACCCGUCCAUUAUUACUCACCUCCAUAUUACUACAAGUCACCUCCUCCCCCCGUGAAAGCGGCACCAACUCCUUACUACUACAAAUCACCUCCACCUCCCGCACCAGUUUACAAGUACAACUCCCCACCUCCGCCAGUCCAUUACUAUUCACCUCCAUACACCUAUAAGUCACCUCCUCCUCCUGUGAAAGCAGCACCAACUCCUUACUACUACAAAUCACCUCCACCUCCCGCACCGGUUUACAAGUACAACUCACCACCUCCACCGGUCCAUUAUUAUUCUCCACCAUACUACUACAAGUCACCACCCCCACCAUCUCCAUCACCUCCUCCACCAUACUAUUUCAAAUACUAUUACAAGUCCCCACCUCCACCAUCACCAUCCCCUCCUCCACCUUAUUAUUACAAAUCUCCUCCUCCACCAAAACAAAUUUCACACCCUCCAUACUACUAUAAGUCACCACCCCCACCAUCACCAUCACCUCCUCCACCAUACUAUUAUAAGUCUCCACCUCCACCAUCACCAUCUCCCCCACCACCUUAUUAUUAUAAGUCACCACCCCCACCAUCCCCGUCCCCUCCUCCACCAUACUACUACAAGUCUCCACCUCCACCUAAAGAAAUAUCACAUCCUCCAUAUAACUAUAAGUCACCACCCCCACCAUCACCAUCCCCUCCCCCUCCAUACUAUUACAAAUCUCCUCCACCACCAUCACCAUCACCACCACCUCCCUACUAUUACAAAUCACCUCCACCACCAUCACCAUCACCUCCCCCUCCAUACUAUUACAAAUCUCCUCCACCACCAUCACCAUCACCACCACCUCCUUACUAUUACAAAUCACCUCCACCACCAUCCCCAUCACCACCACCUCCAUACUACUACAAAAGUCCCCCUCCACCAUCUCCAUCUCCUCCAUCCCCAUAUUACUACAAAUCUCCACCACCACCAUCACCAUCCCCACCCCCUCCCUACUAUUACAAAUCACCUCCACCUCCCUCACCAUCACCGCCACCUCCUUACUAUUACAAAUCUCCCCCACCUCCAUCUCCAUCUCCACCACCUCCUUAUCACUAUCAAAGUCCUCCUCCCCCAUCUCCCAUUUCUCAUCCUCCCAACUACUACAAAUCCCCUCCACCACCAUCGCCAUCUCCUCCACCUCCAUACCAUUACGUGAGUCCUCCCCCACCAGUAAAGUCACCUCCACCACCAGCUUACAUCUAUGCUUCUCCACCACCACCAAUCUACAACUAGCCUCACAACACCAAAUCACCAUUGGUGAUAAAUUAUGUAAGUUUACCAUUAUUGCAAUCAUAACACUUGCAUCUUUUCCCACCCAUACACACACAUAUCACAUGUUUAAAUUUUAUGUACUAAUCAACAAAAACUCUUAUUUGUUUUCAGGUUCUAGUUUUCAUCAAGGAAUAAAGUCGUCCAUUUGGAGCAAAGUGAAACAACUAGCUCUCUGUCCAAAUUAUUUGAUGGCCAUCUUGCACUUCCUAAUCUUAUUGUGUUCAAGUGACUGGCUAAUCAAAAUGUGGAAGCGAGAUUAAUUUAUUUAUUAUCUCUUUGAUUUAUAUGUGCAUAGAUUGAUAUUUCCCUGUAUGAUAACUUUAUUUUUAUUGAGGAUUUUUUGUAUUGUACCCUGUUGUGUUUGUUAAAAUAAGUAUUAUCAAUGAAGAAUUACCUUCAAUUUCUUUCCACCUAAUUAGUUCUUGUUUCUUUUAAACAACUAUCAAGCAUGUCAGCAAGGCAAAGCAUACCACUACCACCAUAUCACCAUAAAAUGCAUCAUUAUUCAUUGCAUAUGAGAUAAAUAUAUGCAAACUAUAUCUAAUUAUUAAGAGGGGGAAAAAACUAAUGUACAGAAAAUGUACCUCAAGGCUUCAGGAUAGGUGUUAGAAACCCAAGCUUUUAAUAGCUCUCUCCAAGAAUCCUCGUUUCUACAACUUAAGUUCCUAUAUUAAUCAAUUAUAAUAUAUGAGAAACUUAUGUUGUCGACCAACAAUACAGGUGACUCAAAAAAAUAUUAUAUUUUAAAAGUCAAACCUUGAGCUAUACACAUGUAAGCAUCAUCAAUAUAAGUUUCACCAUUGUUCAUGUGUAUUAUUCCAUAAAUUUUGGCUCAGUUGAGGUUACUACACUGGUUUUCUUCCUAUUGUAUCAUAUAUUUAAAUACUAUGGUGCGUUUGGAUAAACAGCUUAUGUCACAAGCACUUAUCAUGAUAAGCGCUUUUGUAUAAACUUGCAUGAGUUAUUUUCAUAUCAAAAGAUAAACAAGAACAUUAAAUUGUUUUUGUAUAUUACUUAAGUUGUUUUCAUAAGCUAUGUUGAAGAACUAAUGAAAAUUAGCUGAAAAAAGCUUAUGCUGUUUUCAUGAAUUCUCCCUAACAGUCUCACAAUAUUUAUGUCAGUAUAUAAUCAAAUAAGUCAAUCCAAACAGGCCCCACGUCUUCUAUAUUAGACCAUAUGACAAUUUCUUUUCGGUUUAUUCUCAUUAAAAGUUAAAAAUGGUGUAUUUGAAUCCUAUAAUUCUUUGUCAUACAAGUGCAUUCAAAUACAAUUUGAAGCCAUGGUGAAAGUGUUUAAUUUGCAGAGCUCACCAACAUAAUCUAACGUAUAUUUGGAUUGACUUAUUUGAACUUAUCUACUAGCACAAAUACUUGUGAGAUUGUUUACGAAAGUUUAUGGAAAAAACUUACAACACACACAUAAGUUGUUUUCAGCUUAUUUCCAUAAACUCUUCAAAAUAGCUUAUGAAACAACUUAUAUGAUAAGAGCUUAUUCUAUAAGCGCUUAAUUAAGUUUUAAUCCAUUCUUCUUCUACCUUCAUCUUCAGUUAACAAAACGAAUACAAUUUCUGAAAAUUCAAAGUUCAAACACCAAAAAAUACCUAAAAUGAAAAAUUGUUGAAUGAAAGCGCAAAUAGAACCUGGCAAUGCGUUCGAGAAGCACGUGGAGGAGGUGGCGUGGCAGAAGAAUGUGUGGAUUUCAUCGGAGAAUUUCAGUUCUGCUCGCGCCAUUUAAGAAAUUUUGUAAACUUAAAGUUUAGUUUAAGUUUACCCCUCUUUUUUUUUCAUUUUAAAGGAGUUUACCCUACAAAUUUUUGUAUGUUUUUGCCACGUUUACAAAUGAUUUAAUAUGUUUUUAUCCUAUAUAUAUUUAGGGAUGUAAAUGGAUAUUAUGAUGCGGAUAGUGUAAUAUUUGUGUCUGUUCCAUUGGAUAAAUAUGAAAUCUGUACCAUAUUCAUAUCGUACGGAUAUCUGUUUAGCGGGUAAUCCACAGAUUUUGAGAUAUUUGAGUGUUUAUAGAUAUAUUCAUUGAUAACAUUUAUAAAAAUAAAAUAAAAAAUUUGUUUAAUUCUUUUUAGAGACAAAGGUUCUUCAUAUGCAUUUUCUUUUCUUUUUAACAAAACAUAAUAUUCAUACAUUAUAAUAACAACAAAGAUCAUUGACUCAACAAAAACAUAAAUAAAGUUGCUUACAUUUAAUAAAAAUAAAGUUAUUUGAUUUAACAAAAACAAAGCUCUUGCAUCAACAAUCCCAACCACUUUCACUUCCUUUUAAAAGAGUGUAAUAACAAAUAACACUCACAAUACAUAAGGUUUUUUUUUAGGAAGUUGAAUGAUAUUAAGGUUAUUUAUGUAAUUUACUCGGUUUAAUAGUCGGUAUGGAUAUCCACGGGUGUGGAUACCGUUAAAUCCGCAUCCAUAUCCAUUAAUUAGCAGGUAGUUAAAAAAUUCAUUUAUUUUAUCCAUUGAUAUCCAUUAAGGUAUCCGCUCCGUGCCCGUGACGGAUUAUAUCCGCGGAUAUUCACGGGUGCGAAUUUUUUUGUCAUCCCUAUAUAUAUAUAUUAGUCUUAAACUUGACUAUUUUUUAUUAUCAUUUGGUGCUAUAAUUAAAAAAAAAAAAAAAAUAUUGUUCGUCUGAGCCAUUUAGCUACAGGCUAUUACUUUUCUCAUUCUACAUGUUUCUCGCUUGUCCUAUUUUUUUUUUAAUACUUUUUGCUCGAAUUCUAAAAUCUAAACUCCUAUAGGGAUUUUUGGAUUCUAUAAUCCAAAACACGUUGAAACCCAAAAAUAAAAUAAAAAACUAUGUAAUUGAAAUCAAAGAUCUCUACUGCUAAUGCACGUUUUCCACAAAAACUACAAAGUAAUUUCAAAGUAAUUUCACAAAAACUAUCGUAUGAAUAGACAGCAAUGAGCAUGAUAUCAUAAAUAACUCAAAACUUUAUAAAAAUAAAAAUAAAAAAAUGAAUAAGAAGAUGUGAAGAAUGAAUGUAAACGUUGGAGGAUACAAAGCUAUUUAUAGACAUAAAAUGUUCCUAGACUCUAAAGUGGGUCAAAGAAAACAUGAAUAACAUUUACAACUUAAUUAACACAUCACAGAUCAUUCAAACCUUUGGUGUAACAUCAUCGUAUGUAGUCUGGCACAGUUUGGAUUAUACAAUCUGAACAUUUCAUAAGCAGUUUGGAUUAUAUAAUUUGAACUAUCCCAGACUGUGUUUCAGCUUGAUGUUUGGAGGGUUUUGUAUGGUGGAUAACACAAAAAAAUGACAUAAUUCAACAACGUAAAAAAUAUAAUAAGAUAAGUGAUGAUGAAAGGGAAGCCGCACCAAGAGGUGUUUUUGAAUUCGAUCCAGUUGUCCUAUCAACUGACAUAUAUUUCUAUUGGCAUGGCAGCAAGAUCAAGUUUCAAAACGACCUUUUUGUGUUCAUAUCCGCAAAAUAAUGAUGAAAGGCAAGGUAUUCCAAGAAGUGUUUUUUAACUUGAUCUCGCUACCUUGUCAACUAACAUAUUUCUAUAGACAGUGCAGCAAGAUCAAAUUUAUAACAACCUCUAGGUGUUCAUAUCCGCUAAGUAAUUUUUCGUAGUUCUUUAUUGUGAUCUACAAAAAAAAAAAAAAAAAAGAUCUAUUUAUAUAAGUUUAUGUGCGUCGCGAACCAGAUAAAUUUUCGAUGCAUUGUGGACCAAAAAAAAAUUCUAAUUCGGACUAAACAAGAUGAAUUUUCCUUCACCCUAGAAAGUAAAAGUUUUGACAAACACAAGACUGAUUAUACAUUAAAUACAACAAUCAGCCAAACUAAACAUAUUAGAUCACAAAUCUUUCAAACUAACUUCUUCAUUGGAUUCCUCCAAGAGAGCCUUGAUUUAUUUGUAUGUUCUAGGCCGAAUCAAUUUUUUUUAAUAUCUUUGAAAGGGCCCGACCAAGAAAACAUCCAACUCAAUUGGUCAUUUAAUACCGUACUGACCAAAUAUUAAAACAUUAUUCUCUUAUCGCAUUGUUCCUGAGUUUAAUCUAGGUAAACUAGAUGCUUUCAUCUUAGCCAAUCGAUGGACUUUGAUGCUCAACAUUGUCCAUCCUUCUUGUGUCUGUGUUGUUGAGUCGACGGUUGAUUUAGUCCAGCUAAUAUUGGACUUUCCCCCAUUGUAGUAAACUACAGUUAGUUUGGUGUCAGAUCAAUGAUUGAAGUGUUCAUGAUUAUUUGGUGUGGUUUAUAGCAAAUGAAAACAAGCACACCAAUUUAUAGAAGUUUAUGUGCGCCGCGGACUACAAUAACUAUUGGUGCAAUGAAGACCAUAGAAAAAGCAUGUACUUGGCUGAUUUGGAUUAUAUAAUUUACAUUGUCCCUCACCCUACAAAGUACAAAUUUCAACACAAUAUUGAACCAAUUCGGAUUAUAGAAUCCAAUCAUUUAUGAGAUAAUUUCGGAUUAUAUAAUUAAAACUAGUUCACAAUGUGAACCGCAGCUUGGUCAGCAAGACUAACUCAUUAAAAAUGUUUUUUAAGUUGGUGAACGACGCUUGACUGGUCAGCAAGACUUGAAAACAAUUUUCGUACCAUGCAUUAAUGGACCAUUACCCUCUAUGAAAUGUACUUCACAAAUUCUCCUUCCGAAUACCCACUAAUACAUCACAAAUUCUUAUUUCAUCUCACAUUCUCUCGUUCUUUUUACUUCUACAAUGUGCUUCCAUAGUUUGUGUUUCAUACAAAAAUGUUACUCUAAUAUUUUAUGGAUUGUAUGAAUGGUCAAAAGGCAAAAAUUGGCACCAUCUGUUUGGAUGUAAGGUUGAUCAUCAAAGUCUAAUCCACUAAGAGAGGAAACAAACCUUACCCCAACCUCAUUCCCCAUUCAUCUUCUUGCACCGCAUGUUUAAAUGAUACUCCCUCCGGUCCUAUUUAUAAGAGAAAGUUAGGUCAACAAAAGUUGAUGUAUCUGAACUGAAUUUUUAACCGGAUACAUCAACUUUUGUUGACCCAAAUUUCUCUUAUAAAUAGGACCGGAGGGAGUAUUUGUACAACCAUUUUGGUACAACUUUUGUACAACUUUCUCUCUCAUACUCACAUUAUGUUUUUAUUCUCUCUCUUACUUUUUUUCUCUCCAUUGUGGUUGACCAAUAAGAAGGGAGAAUAUCAAGGUUGUCACAAAAAUUGUAACAAAAGAGUUGUUCAAAUAUCAUUACUCUUAUCAUUAUGUGUUAAAUAAUUUUGUGUAAUAAGCUUCAAUGACAAUGUAAAUAUACAAUAAAAGAUAUAAAUUAUUCAUAAAAUGAAAAUUUUAUUCAUUUAUCUUUUUAUAUUUUUGUCUCUUUUAGUUUCAGUCAUUUUCAAUUAUGCAUUCUUAAUAUUAUGUCAAUGUUGAUCAAUAAUUAUUGGCAAAAGAAGUUUUCAUGUUAUAGAAUAUGAAAAUCCCUGGUACCAAAAAAAAAAAAAAUCUGAAAAUCCCUCUAUAGGAUUUCAGAUUUUAGAAUCCGACCAAAUGGUAUUUUGAAGAGAGAAAAAUAGUGUGUCUAAGUAACUCAUGUUGAGAAAAGUAAUAGCCUUAAUUAUGUCUCCGAUAAACAUUUUAUUCCCUUCCGUUAAUCAGUUAAUCCCAAAUGUCUAAGGUGAACCAAUAUUAUAGGUGGUCUACCAUAAACCUCAUAACAAUUUUAAGGUCAAAUACCACUUUUGGUCAUUUUAGUUUGACAGAAUUCUCAAGUUAGUCAUUUAAGUUUCGAAAGUUUCAAUUAGGUCCUUUUAGUUUGACAGAAUUCCCAAGUUAAUCCUUUAAGUCAUAAAAUUCAGGGGAGCAAAGUAGAUACUCCAGUUUUCAGAGGCGGAGACAUAGUCAUGUCAAAAGCAUCCCACAUCCUAUUACCACCUACUUGAACUCAUCAAGCUUGGUAUGGACCAUUCACAGUAACAUGUGUAUGUAGUCUCGUGGAGAUCUGGGACAAUAUCAAAUGGCAUGCUAAGGUGAAUCGACACAAACUGAAGCAUGUUAAAGAUUGCAUCCGGAAAAUGAAAGUUGAAGAAGAUGAACCUGCUUUGAAGAGGUUCAAGGGCACAACAUAGACUUAUUCUCCAUGUUCAAGAUGUAAAACACGCAUUGAACGAGAGACAACCCAUUAAUUUAUUUUCUCCGUUAUUUGUCUUGUGUCAUUUUUGCUCGAAUUUUUUGCCGUCAAUUCUUUAUGAAUUAUCAGUCAUAUUAUAUUACACACUAGACAAUUUUUUUGGUACCUUGAGCCUUUUCAAUCCGCCCUUAUCAUCAUUAUAUCCUUUGCUAAAUCCCUUUGAGCUUCCAUGCAUUAUUUCUUUUGUUUUUUUUAUUAAGUAACAAAUCAUGUCACAAGUUUGAACUUUUAAUGCCAUCUAUUUGAUUUCUUUUAUAGUUAGAUAGAAUAUUUUUAAGAACUUGGUAUGAUUUGAAUAUAUGUUAGGGUUAUAAGGGAGAAAUGUAAUGGCAAAGAGGAAGAGCAAGAAAAGAGAUGAAAGAUGAAGGGACAUUAGGCAGACUCAAUCACGGUAGUUAGAAUGAUUGCCUUCUGUUUUGCAGUAAUUUGCAUGAGCUUCACUUUUCAAGUAGAGUAAAAAAAACAGGAAUAGAUAGACACAUUUCUUCUAAGUUUGAGUAGUGAGUGAUAACACUUCUAUGUAAUCCCUAAAAAAAAACACUUCUAUGUAAAAAAAUCACAUGGGAAAUCCAUUCCUAUAGUACACGUAAUUUUGAUCUGGAAGGUUGACUUUUCAACAAAAUAACCUAAAAUAAUUUGUUCAUAACAUAAUAGAGGAAUCUAGAAGUGUUCGCGGUGCGGUUUGAUUCGGUUUUGAGCAAAAAAGUCAUCCAAACCGCGCGAUAAAAAAACAUGUGGUUUGGUUCGGUUGAUUUUUAAAAAAUCAUCCAAACCAAACCAAACUAAACCAAUACGGUUUGGAUUGGUUCGGUUUGUGCGGUUUAUCGCGAGAUAAAAAAAAAAUAUUACAUUAACUCUAAUAUUUCCAAAUUGUUACAAAAUAAACAUAGAACGUUUUUUUAUUUAUUUUUAUAUGAUAAAAUAUUAGGUAAAACUCAUAUCAAAAUAGGUAAAAUUAAGAAGAAUUUAUAAGCAUGAAACAAAUUAUUGGAAAGUAAAGGAAACAAAUUUAAGUAAUAUUCAUUAUUCUUGCAGCUAUGUAAUUGGGCUAGAAACAUUUUAUUUUGAUGUUUAUAUCGAACAUGAUGGUGCAACAAUGGAAAAAUCAAAUCAAAAAAGAUUAUUCUUGAGCUAUGUAAUUGAGCUAGUACAUAUUUAAGUAAUAUUCAUUAUUCUUGCGGUUUGGUUUGGUUUGAUUCGGUUGCUGAGAUGCAAACCGCAAAUCAAACCAAACUGUAUGUUUUAGUGCAAAAGUCAUCUGAAUUCAUCCGAAAUCAAGUACGAUUUUUUACGAUUUUGAAUUGGUUUAAUUUGCCGUUUUUCUAUUGGAUUGGUUCGGUUUGAACGAUCUGCAUGAAUUCUUCUAGUUGAUUGUUGGACUAUUUUUAAUUGGCAAAGGCUUAGUUGUCCAUUUAUAAAUAUAAAUACUAUUAUUACAUUAUCCAAUCCAAUAGCACCAAAACCAAUAUAAUAAUGGUAAUUUGCAAUUUUGCACGUUUCAUUCAUUUAUUGGUGCCUUAAUUUUGGGUUACAGACCGACAUUGAUCAGUUGCUAAAAAACCACUGCAUCCUUAUUUUUUACGAGGUAGAUGCAUCGGACAAAUAAACCGACAAACAAAGCUAUUCAGAAAGUGCUCAGAAAUUUUUUGUGCCCCAACAGAAAAUAUUAAGAAAGUCUUGCUACACAGUGUCUUGUAUACAAGUGAAAUAUGUGUGGUAUUAUGCACAAGUUUAUUUUUACAAGUUGAUAUAAGAAUCUAAGUAUAUUUUUAUGGAAAAUUAAUGCUAACAAAUACUUUCAAAGCAUUGUUUAAGCAAUCAAUAUUAGUAACUUUUGCAUAGAAAUAUGUGUGAUUAUUAUUUUUUCAUAUGUUUUAUAUGUUUUCAAGAAAAUAUUUUUAUUUAUGGUUUUUUUAAAUAGUGUCCUUAGGUACUUGUUAGCAAAAUCUUAUUUAUAUAAGUUGAUCUAAGAAUCUCAUUAUUGUAUCGAGUGAGAUACGGCCAUACCGAAGCUUAUGGAUUCCAUAGUGGAAAAAUAACUUUUCAUCAGUGCAAUACUAUUUUAGUUGUAGAAUUUCUUUUCUUGUGUGUCCUAUUUCAGAUUUUAAAAUCCAAACAAUCGAAGGUUUAUGAAGGUUUUUCGAACAUUUUCGCACUGUUUGAAUUAUAUGAUCUGAAAUGUCAUAGAACAUGCGAGAAGCAAGUUGAAUGAAAUAAAAAACUCCUGCUCAAUAGAAUUAUUUUACUUGGUUAUUGUUUGAAUUUUAUUCUCCUUCAAAGACGGCAAUGUGCAAUUGUGCAUUUCAUCCGGAGAGUGGCAACAUCUCAUGCAUGUUCAUCUCAUAUAACUGAGAAGUCACAUGGCUUGGAAAAUCUUAAACCGAGAAAAACAAAAGGAGUAAAAGUAAUAAUAGUGAACCAAAGUGAAGAUGAACUUGUAGUCUAUCAAAAGAAGAUGAACUUGUUCGUCUUGGCAUAGUAACUCAUUUUUAUUCCUUGUUACCUAUGAAACACGGACAAUAGAUACAACACGGACACCAAUACGUUAAUACCGUUAAUAAUAUAAAAAAAUAGGUACAUUGAAUAAUUAAUGUAUUUGACCUAUAAAUGUGACCAGAUAUAUUAAUUAUUCAAUGUAUCUAAAAAGUUGGUUUUUGUUUAUAAAUAUGAUCAUAUGGAGUACUACUUUAGUGUAAUUUUAUGUAUUGGUACUGCGAGACAUCUAAUCUAAAGAGUGUCAAUGUUUUCACACAUAUUACUCACCAAAGUGCACACAUUAUAUGCAUUUAGGUAAACUGAGUUCAUCCAAAAUUGUAACCGCACAAACAGAGGGCCGCUAGGAAAUAUGAGGUAAAUUUGGAUUAUUCUUUAUCAAAAGCUUAUGACCAAAGAAAAACUAUACAAAAACUAAUGUUCAAAAAGUACAUAAAGUAAUAAUGCAAAGUCAAUGUGUAUAUAUAUUUCACCAUUAAAUAAAAGGGGAAAAAAAUCUCCAUACACAGCUUGCAAUAGCUACCAUCAUGGCCUAAAGCAAAUAUCAUAUGACCACUAAAAAACAAUAGAAAAUAAACAAAUAAAAAGAGAAAAACAAAAGAGAAAAUGGUAUAAAGAAAUCAUGUAGUAGUUAGUUUUUUCUCAAGAUGGGCAACUCAGCAGGGCUGCUAGGAGGAAAUUACAAAAGAACAUGACACUUAACUUCUCUAAUCAUUCAAAAUUUGUCAAGAUGCUGAUUAUAUAUUUUAAUUAGUAGUUAGAGAUUGUUAUAGUAACGUGUUCUAGCCAUCAAGAAUAAAACAAUGUCAUGGAAAAGAAGUGGCCUACUAGAAGAAUUAAUUUAAAGCAUUUACACCAAAAUAAAAACAAAUUGAAUAUUGGAAUUGGUCCUUCAUGAUAGCUUCCCCUUAACAACUAACUCUAACUAUAAAUACUGAAUCUUGCAUGCAACAUUUCAUAGUAAACACUAAGACCAAAACCUCUUCUUUCUAUCCAUGACUGCUAGGGCUAGUUGCCCCAAAAUGGGGCAUUUUUGGCCACAAAUGGCAAUGGCAUUGGCCAUUGUUUUGAUUUCUACUACUAUGGUUUCUGCUUCUGAUAGCUACAUUUACUCUUCGCCUCCACCACCUUAUGAGUACAAGUCCCCACCACCGCCGUCUCCCUCACCACCUCCUCCUUAUGUGUAUAAGUCACCACCUCCCCCAUCCUCGUCACCCCCACCACCAUAUGAGCACAAGGCUCCAUCUUAUGAGUACAAGUCACCACCACCACCAACUUCUUCACCACCACCUCCUUAUGUAUACAAGUCACCACCACCACCAUCUCCUUCACCGUCACCUCCUUAUGUGUACAAGUCACCACCACCUCCAUCCCCAUCACCCCCACCUCCUUACGUGUACAAGUCACCACCACCACCCUCGCCUUCCCCGCCCCCACCAUACUAUUACAAGUCUCCUCCACCACCCUCGCCUUCCCCACCGCCACCAUACUAUUACAAGAGUCCUCCACCACCCUCUCCUUCACCUCCACCUCCUUACUACUAUAAAUCGCCUCCACCACCCUCACCUUCCCCUCCCCCACCAUACUAUUACAAGUCUCCUCCACCACCAUCUCCCUCACCACCUCCUCCAUAUUACUACAAGUCUCCCACACCACCUUCACCCUCCUCUCCACCCCCAUAUAUACACAAGGAUCCACCAUACUAUUACAAGUCCCCACCACCCCCUUCACCAUCUCCUCCACCACCAUACUACUAUAAAUCUCCCCCACCACCCUCACCCUCUCCACCCCCACCUUACUAUUACAAGUCUCCUCCACCACCUUCACCAUCUCCUCCACCACCAUACUAUUACAAAUCUCCUCCUCCUCCAUCUCCUAUUCCCCAUACACCUUACUAUUACAAAUCUCCCCCACCACCUUCACCAUCUCCUCCACCACCAUACUAUUACAAAUCUCCUCCUCCUCCAUCUCCUAUUCCCCGUACACCUUACUAUUACAAAUCUCCCCCACCACCUUCACCAUCUCCUCCACCACCAUACUACUACAAAUCCCCUCCUCAUCCAUCUCCCAUUCCCCAUACACCUUACUAUUACACAUCUCCCCCACCACCUUCACCGUCUCCUCCACCACCAUAUUACUACAAAUCUCCUCCCCCUCCGUCUCCUAUUCCCCACACACCUUACUACUACAAGUCCCCACCACCACCAAAGGUCCUUCCACCACCAUACUAUUACAAUUCUCCUCCUCCACCUGUUGUGUAUCCUCACCCAUAUCCCUACCACCACUCACUUAUUGUGAGGGUAGUCGGUAAAGUCUACAGCUUCAGAUGUUAUGAUUGGAAUUAUCCUGCAAAGUCUCAUAACAAGAAACAUCUCAAAGGUACAUUACAUUUCUUAGGACCGGACCUCUUUAGAGUAAUGUGUUUAGAGAUAAUGCACAAUUUUUUAUUUUUUUAUCUCGUAAAGGUUUAUUUAUUAUAAUCACAAUUUCACUUUUGUCAAAAAGAAAAACAAUUUUACUAUAUAUAGUUUUAAUCAUUAACAUUUUGAUGUAAAAAGAAUACAAUUCUCUAUUACCUUUUUACUAUGAUAUAUAUACAAAGAUUAUUCAAAUCUAUAUAUCCAACCUAAUUUCCAUCCAAAAAAAUAGAAAACAUAGGGUGCUUUGAACGCCUGCAGCAUCACAUGAAUAAAUAAAAACAAUCAAUAAUCAACCUUGUUCUAAUUUAUUUUAGACAGCGAUUGUUAAGCAUACUGCUCUUUUAAUUACAUUUUUUUUAAAGAUGCUCUUUUAAUUAUAUUGUCCUAAUAUAAUAUGUGUCUUUAUAUAUUACUUGUCGUAAACUAAUUUUAUUAUGGGUGCAGGAGCUGUUGUUGAGGUGACAUGCAAAGCCGGGAGCAAAAUUGUCAAGGCUUAUGGAAAAACUAAGAACAAUGGAAAGUAUGCCAUCACAGUUAAGGACUUUGACUAUGUCAAAUAUGGUUCGACAGUGUGCAAGGCUACCCUUUAUGCUCCACCUAAGGGUUCACCCUUCAACAUACCUACAAAGCUAAAUCAAGGAACAAAGUUGUACUUGAAAUCCAAAGACAAGUACGAGGUUGUGCUCAAGGCUAAGCCAUUUGCUUAUGCUUCAAAGAAACAUUUCAAAGAAUGUGAGAAGCCUAAGCCUUCACCAACUCCUUUCUACAACUCACCACCUCCACCCGUCCAUUAUUACUCACCUCCAUAUUACUACAAGUCACCCCCUCCCCCUGUGAAAGCGGCACCAACUCCUUACUACUACAAAUCACCUCCACCACCCGCACCGGUUUACAAGUACAACUCCCCACCUCCACCAGUCCAUUAUUAUUCACCACCAUAUACCUACAAGUCACCUCCUCCACCUGUGAAAACGGCACCAACUCCUUACUACUAUAAAUCACCUCCACCACCCGCACCGGUUUACAAGUACAACUCCCCACCUCCACCGGUCCAUUAUUAUUCACCACCAUAUACCUACAAGUCACCUCCUCCACCUGUGAAAACGGCACCAACUCCUUACUACUAUAAAUCACCUCCACCACCCGCACCGGUUUACAAGUACAACUCCCCACCUCCACCGGUCCAUUAUUAUUCACCACCAUAUACCUACAAGUCACCUCCUCCACCUGUGAAAACGGCACCAACUCCUUACUACUAUAAAUCACCUCCACCACCCGCACCGGUUUACAAGUACAACUCCCCACCUCCACCGGUCCAUUAUUAUUCACCACCAUAUACCUACAAGUCACCUCCUCCACCUGUGAAAACGGCACCAACUCCUUACUACUAUAAAUCACCUCCACCACCCGCACCGGUUUACAAGUACAACUCCCCACCUCCACCGGUCCAUUAUUAUUCACCACCAUAUACCUACAAGUCACCUCCUCCCCCUGUGAAAGUAGCACCAACUCCAUACUACUACAAAUCACCUCCACCUCCUGCACCGGUUUAUAAGUACAACUCACCUCCUCCACCAGUCCAUUAUUAUUCUCCUCCAUACUACUAUAAGUCACCACCCCCACCAUCACCAUCCCCUCCUCCACCUUAUUAUUACAAAUCUCCUCCUCCACCGAAAGAGAUUUCACACCCUCCAUACUACUAUAAGUCACCACCCCCACCAUCCCCAUCACCUCCUCCACCAUACUAUUACAAGUCCCCCCCUCCACCAUCACCAUCUCCACCACCACCAUACUAUUACAAGUCACCACCUCCACCAUCUCCAUCUCCUCCUCCACCAUACUAUUAUAAGUCACCACCUCCACCAUCCCCAUCCCCUCCUCCACCAUAUUACUAUAAGUCACCAGCUCCACCAUCCCCAUCCCCUCCUCCACCAUACUAUUAUAAGUCCCCACCUCCACCGUCACCAGCUCCACCACCACCUUACUAUUAUAAGUCACCACCCCCACCAUCACCAUCCCCUCCCCCUCCAUAUUAUUACAAAUCUCCUCCACCACCAUCCCCAUCACCACAACAUCCCUACUAUUACAAAUCACCUCCACCACCAUCGCCAUCACCACCACCUCCCUACUAUUACAAAUCACCUCCACCACCAUCACCAUCGCCUCCACCUCCAUACUACUACAAAAGCCCCCCUCCACCUUCUCCCUCUCCUCCUCCCCCAUAUUACUACAAAUCUCCACCACCACCAUCACCAUCACCACCCCCUCCCUACUAUUACAAAUCACCUCCACCACCGUCACCAUCAC
rnacentral:lncRNA from 1 species